AGUCAACAUGCCCAGGGGACGCGGAUAACCUCGGGAAACUGAGGAUAAACCGCGAUAAGUCACUACUUCUGGAAUGGGUAAUGACUCAAAUCUACAUGGCCCCUGGAUUGGACUGCGGCCGAUCAGGCUGUUGGUGAGGUAAUGGCCCACCAAACCUGUAACCGGUACGGGCUCUGAGAGGAGGAGCCCGGAGAUGGGCACUGAGACAAGGGCCCAGGCCCUAUGGGGCGCAGCAGGCGCGAAACCUCUGCAAUAGGCGAAAGCCUGACAGGGUUACUCUGAGUGAUUUCCGUUAAGGAGAUCUUUUGGCACCUCUAAAAAUGGUGCAGAAUAAGGGGUGGGCAAGUCUGGUGUCAGCCGCCGCGGUAAUACCAGCACCCCGAGUGGUCGGGACGUUUAUUGGGCCUAAAGCAUCCGUAGCCGGUUCUACAAGUCUUCCGUUAAAUCCACCUGCUUAACAGAUGGGCUGCGGAAGAUACUAUAGAGCUAGGAGGCGGGAGAGGCAAGCGGUACUCGAUGGGUAGGGGUAAAAUCCGUUGAUCCAUUGAAGACCACCAGUGGCGAAGGCGGCUUGCCAGAACGCGCUCGACGGUGAGGGAUGAAAGCUGGGGGAGCAAACCGGAUUAGAUACCCGGGUAGUCCCAGCUGUAAACGAUGCAGACUCGGUGAUGAGUUG
rnacentral:rRNA from 1 species